UACUUCAGAUUAGAUUAGUAAUGUUCGGCGGGUUGCGUGUGGGUCUCGAACUUAUUUACGUGGACAGAGUGUUAUCUGUUAAUUUGAAAGCCGCCGCAACUAAAACAACAAAAAUUACCGCACUUAAUCGAUGGUGCGGGAUGGAUGGGCUGGUUGGAUAAAGAAAGCUUUUAGCAGCUGUUUCAGUUUCAGCCAAGAAACCACUUUGGAAUUAGUGUGUGUGUUUUUUCUACGAAGCUUUGUUUUAAUGAACCUGACCUGAGCCCCUGCUCCACUGGGGCUCCACCGUCAGAGAAUCUGGUUUUCGUCGAAAAAAAAAAUAUACAAAUCGUCAAUAAAAAGCAAUUUGAAUUUAAUCAGAAAACGGCACGAUGAGGAGGAUAUGAACAAAAAAAAAACUACCGGCACACGUUUCCCCAUUCCUUUUUUCAGCAAGACACAUAUUUUUGGGGGCAUGGCGAGGUUCGCGAAGAGAUCCUGUUGACAUUUUAUAUGGAGCAGGGGCUCAAAGGGAGCCACAAUAUAAUGUGUAGUAUCUCCAGCUUUGUGAGAAACCAAUUUGGGUCUACCACUAAUAGUGGGUCAAUUAACGAGCGAGGCGAGCCGAGCCAAGCCAAGCCAAGCGGCGGAAUACCAGAAUUAAGAAAAGUCCCCCUGAAUGCUUCUUCUUCGCUGUCCGUCCCCCCCCCCCCGACAAACAUCUUGUGUGUUGCUAACCUAACUGGUCUGAGAGCUGAGUUUAUCGGUUGGCUUUUUAAACAAUUUAAAUAAAGUCAAGCUGUUUUUGUUUUUCCCAAAAGCAAAACUUAAAUAAAUUUCAAAUAAAAAACUUUUUAUAUGUGUUUCGUAACGACAAAACACACACACAGGCGGCCACAAAGCCGCAAAGUACGAUAUCUUCUGCUGCUGUGUGGCGACUGUGGCUGUGGCUGUGGCUGUGUCUGUGGCUGUGGCUGUUGACGCGCACACAAAUACAUAUGCAUGCUAAUCAACAACACCCAAAAAGCUAAAAAGCCCCGAGAGCCAAUGGAAAACCCGAUACUAAACAUGGUCCGGGUGAGGCGGAUGGAGAGGCGGCGCGGCAACUAGAAGGCUUCGAAAGACAAGACCAGGCCGGGCCGGGCCGGGCCAGGCCAGGCCAGGCCAGGCCACUCCAAGACAGAGAUUCGAUUCGAUUCGAGAGUGAGCGGCGGUGGUGCUGCCCGAAGCGUUCGCGUUCGAAAAACUUGUCUUCCCAGAUUCAGUUUGGAUUUCUUCUUAUUGGAUCAGAGGCCAGAGACGAAACGAUACGAAACGAUACGAGACGACAACACCAAAAACAAAAGCCACAAAACAGCAACAGUGUUGGCAAUUUGGAACUGGACUAAAAACGGACUUGAAAGAAACCACACCAACCCAACGAACCAACCAACCAACAACAGCAACAAGCAACAACCGACUGGUAUUUCCCUCUCUGGGGCUUGUUAUGAAUUUGUUGCUGUUGGCCGUGUCUUUCAUUAUAAAAAAUGAAUAUACAUUUUGUAUAUGCCUGCGUCUCGUCUCGCAUAUAGGCACGAGUAUAUGGAGGCUAUAUCUUUUCGAAAAUGACUGAAGGUCAGACAAAACCAGCAGUGUACAAUCAACUUUUUAAUAUUUCAUUUAAAAAUCUAUAUAUUAAAUGACUCUUCCAUGGGAUGCAACCCAGAGUUGGAGUUUGCUUUAA